CGGGUUUAUCUAAUAGGUAGAAUUUUCAUUUACAUUGAAAUAUUGAUUGUGCAAUUCAAUCGGAUCUGA
rnacentral:tRNA from 1 species